AUUGAACGCUGGCGGAAUGCUUUACACAUGCAAGUCGAGCGGCAGCACGGGGGCAACCCUGGUGGCGAGCGGCGAACGGGUGAGUAAUACAUCGGAACAUGCCCAGUCGUGGGGGAUAACACUUCGGAAGAAGUGCUAAUACCACAUACGUCCUGAGGGGGAAAGCGGGGGAUCGCAAGACCUCGCGCGAUUGGAGUGGCCGAUGUCAGAUUAGCUAGUUGGUGGGGUAAAGGCCUACCAAGGCAACGAUCUGUAGCUGGUCUGAGAGGAUGAUCAGCCACACUGGGACUGAGACACGGCCCAGACUCCUACGGGAGGCAGCAGUGGGGAAUUUUGGACAAUGGGGGCAACCCUGAUCCAGCCAUUCCGCGUGAGUGAAGAAGGCCUUCGGGUUGUAAAGCUCUUUCGGCAGGAACGAAACGGUGAGCUCUAACAUAGCUUGCUAAUGACGGUACCUGAAGAAGAAGCACCGGCUAACUACGUG
rnacentral:rRNA from 1 species